AACUUAAAAAAACUGUUUUUUAUGUCCGAUAUUUUGCCUGCCUUGGUAAUUCAUUGUGCUUUUUGUGCAUGCAUUUUACAUUGAAUUGCAAUAUUUACCUGAUGUACUUGCAUGUCUGUAAUUGUACUCCUAGGUUGUUAUUACUGGUAUAUUACACAUUUAGUUUUACCCGACAGUUUUUUUUUUACAAGUACUGUCAUAUAGAUAUUAAAUUCAAUCAUCAUCGUACUUGUGCACAAUCACAAAAUCAUGGUACAUAAAAAACAGAAAUUCAAAAUAAUAUUUAAUCUGUUGAUUGCCAACCUCAAUUCAACACAGUUGAAAUUAAGCCUAUUAAGCAUAAUUUAUGUGAAACAGUUUACAUAUGUGUAUCUUCUGUAUAUUUACAUUCUGCAUAUAUAUAUACAUGUAUAUAUGCAUGACUUUCUUAUAGUGGCAUCAUUAUGAAUGCAUGGAAACCAUUUAUCAAAUUAUUUCCAAAAAGGGCAAAUGAAUAUUAGCUGUAUUACAAUUUUUUGAAAAAUUAUGUUUAUACAGUAAUGAGAAAAAUGAAAUUAAUACUGGCAUAUUGUAUUAUAUAUCUCAUGGAAUUGAAAACCCCAAAUAUUGUCUAAAAAGUCAAUUAAGUUAUAUAGUUAUCGACUGAGCUUCUGAACUUGUCAGUAUCAAAGAUAUAUUUUUAUCAUAGUUGUGGAAUAAUAAAUUAGUUGUGUUUAAUAUAUUAAUGUUGCAGUGUUCAAUGUUUCAAUUACAUGUACUGAAUAUGGACAAGUUUGAAAACAUGCAUUAUUUUGAUAUUGUUGCAGGGCAUUUUAUUUAUCCUCGUCUUAAUUCAUUUAGUCUUAAUUUUUGUCAGCUUCAAAAAUAUAGUCCCACUACCAUUGUGUUAUAAAAUUUCCUCUCGAUCCUUCU
rnacentral:misc_RNA from 1 species